CAUACGGUACAUUCAGGCCGGUACACGUACCGACGUUUAUUCCCGUGUAAAAGCAGUUUACAACUCAUAGAGCCGUCUUCCUGCACGCGGCAUGGCUGGGUCAGACUUGCGUCCAUUGCCCAAUAUUCCUCAC
rnacentral:rRNA from 1 species